AUUUGGGUAGUUUAAAUAAAAUGUCAGGUUGUGGGACUGGAGAUGCUGUUAGGCCCUAGAUA
rnacentral:tRNA from 1 species